GACGAACCGUGCGAACGUUAUUCGGAAUCACUGGGCUUAAAGGGCGCGUAGGCGGGCCUCCAAGUCAGGGGUGAAAUCCUCCAGCUCAACUGGAGAAGUGCCCUUGAUACUGGGGGCCUCGAGGGGGGUAGGGGCGUGCGGAACUUCCGGUGGAGCGGUGAAAUGCGUAGAUAUCGGAAGGAACACCGGUGGCGAAAGCGGCGCGCUGGACCCCUUCUGACGCUGAGGCGCGAAAGCCAGGGGAGCAAACGGG
rnacentral:rRNA from 1 species